GUCACUACGUAGGUGGCCGUGUUUUUCCAAAAAUUGCUGUAUUUGAUAGUACUAGGAUUCUGGGUUCACAUCAACCAAGGACAACAUUUGCAAGGUGUUUGUACUAUGGAUUUCAAUUCACAUACUGAAUGCAACACCCAAAGGUGCACAACCUAAAUGCAAUAAAAAUGAAAUGAAAAAGAAUAGUGUGAAUAAGAUUUCAUAGAAUUAAAAAUAAAGUCAAGUUGACUGCUGGUGUGUCAAUUAGGUGUCAUCCACACUGCGGACAUUCCCUCGGGAACUUCCACUUGUUUUCAAUGGGAUUCUUCAUCUCUGUUCAGACUGCGGAAUCACCACAGUGGAAUUCGACAGGCAGUAAAUGACCUGUAACAAGAAAGAAUAAUAUUUAUUGGACUGGAUGUGCCACGUAAACGGAGUAUCAUUUUUGGGACUAAGGAGCACUUUGCCACAUGAUAUAGGAUCAUAGUUUUCUCUAAAGAAUAAGAGUUUACCACCCCUUCUUUACUUGCCACUUGGGAGACAAGAUGAGACGCAGACUGAGCUCUUAUACCAUUAAGACUACUGAGGAAGACAUCUAGUCUACCACUGACUGUAUUACCAGUCACUACAUGAAGCACUUCUGACAACUGGAUCACAGCCGCUCUUACCGGGCCACAGCAUCAUCCAUUGUGCGUCCCCCGCCACGAGGACGCACCUACAAACCAUCUACAGGACACCACCGACCGCUAAAAGCAAGUACAGAACCCAGAAGAGAUUCCUACAGCUUGGGCGAAUACCAGCUACAUACAGGACUACGGGAGAGGUACCCUGGUACUGUCAAUUAACUGUUUUGCCUCACACUCUUGAUUACCAUUCUAUGUCCGCAGUGCGGGUGCUUGCAGGUCGGGUGGCAGGUUCAGAGGAUCCUGUAACGGCCGCAGUGCCGUAAUUGUUUAUUGCUUGCUCCACAGGUCAGACAGCAGGUGAACAGGACUGUACUUACCAACUUGUCCUUAACGGCCGCAGUGCCGUGACUUUACCCUUACAGCAGUAACUUUUUACUUCCACAGGAUUAUACAACUGAGACCCGGCAGAAUCCAUCUAGUGCGGGAUUGUAUUUGCAACAUCUGCAGUCCCCUCAUUCUCAGCCCACCUUUACAGACUCGCACAGCGAGCGGCCAGCAGAUACAAUUUCCUUCAAUGUGAAAGCAACAGUAUCGCUUUGGUACAAUCAGCAGACACGCUCUUCUAUACUGUUACAGCAAUCGUAUUGCUUUGUGUUAAGUAUCUACGAACUGUUAC